GACGAACGCUGGCGGCGUGCUUAACACAUGCAAGUCGAACGAUGAACCCGGAGCUUGCUCCGGCGGAUUAGUGGCGAACGGGUGAGUAACACGUGAGUAACCUGCCCUUGACUCUGGGAUAACUGCUAGAAAUGGUAGCUAAUACCGGAUACGACCCUCGGUGGCAUCACCAGGGGGUGGAAAGAAUUUCGGUCAAGGAUGGGCGCGCGGCCUAUCAGCGAGUUGGUGAGGUAACGGCUCACCAGGGCGACGACGGGUAGCCGGCCUGAGGGGGUGAGCGGCGACACUGGGACUGUGACACUGCCCGAACUACUGCGGGAGGCAGCAGUGGGUAAUAUUGCACACGGGGCGCAAGCCGGAUGCAGCAACGCCGCGUGAGGGAUGACGGCGUUCGGGUUGUAAACCUCGUUUAGUAGGGAAGAAGCGAAAGUGACGGUACCUGCAGAAAAAGCACCGGCUAACUACGUGCCAGCAGCCGCCGUAA
rnacentral:rRNA from 1 species